CCUAGGAAAAAGUGAUUUUAAAAAAGAGAAAAAGAAAAAAGCACCUUUGUUUUUCAGAACAUUAUGGCACAUGCAAAGAAGUUUCAGGAUUAAUUUGGAGCUUCUCACUUUCCUCUUUCCCCUCUCCUUUCCCUUCCACCCCCCAAGGGCAUGACUACUUUUUCCUCAUUUUCUGAUUUUGUUACUACUUAGCUUUUCCAAGAGACAAAUGAAUGCAGACUCAUACUUUCUUACUCUCUUUACCAAAAGCACGGAUAAUUUUAAGAACCAGAAAUUCGUGAGUGUGCUCAUCCAUGCAACUGUUUCCAAAAAUGAAGUUAUUAUUACUUGUCUAUUGAAACAAGACCUCGUUUGAAAAAACAGUGAAAACUUUUGUUUAACCAGAAGCCAGAGUAUCUUCUGUAUUUUCCUUUUCAAUACAAUGUGAUCUCAGCAAAGCAUAGUACUAACCCACUACCAAAAACGCACGGUUAACUCAAUUCCACGAGGGAUGAACCAAGCCUGGUGUCCUAGGUAGGUUAUCUCCCUCCAACCCAGGACUCAACCAGAUCAAAAGCUGUAUUAGACGGGAUGGGAGGCUUGAACAACAUGUGAGAAAAAAACAUAUAGCUUUUUUCUUACAAAGAACAUGGCCAGUUUUAUUUUUUUUAAAAUCACUUUAUGGCAUGAAUUUUAGGCUGGAGACAGUGUCUCCAAGAAAUGUCUUCAAGAAGCAUGAAGAAAGCACACAGCCGAGACAUAUUCCACAGUGAGAUGAGAGCUACUUUCCAACUCAACAAAGCAACAUGGAAAAAACACCUCAUGCUGCUGCUUCUAGAAUAAAAAAGCAAACCAAAAGAACCCCAAGCUCACUGUUGAGUGACUGAGAAGAAAUCAACCUUAAAACCAAAGGGAUGCUGACUUCCAUUGCUGGCAUAGGAUAAGGAGUGUUUGGCAAUUUCUGUAGGUAAGGAAAUUUCAAGAUUUUCCUUUGCAUCUGAUGUUAACAGGAACUGUCCUUUAGUUUUCAAGCUACCAAAGAGUUUUUCUUCCUAGAAACAUACUAAAUUGCUUCUUACAGAAAUGUUAGACCAGUAUAGCUGUCAUAGCAUUUCCUUUACCUUGGAUGCAUGAAUUUGUGAUUCCAUUUUCUACAGCUCCUUGGAGUUCUUUGGGUAGUGCUUCAGUGACACUCGCAGCAUACUCGAUGAUGGGUUUUGUUGUUGCUCUCUCCCCUAACCUAGGCCUCACCUCUAACUCUGCAGUUACAAGGUGUCGUUUAUCUCCUACUGUUUUAUCCAAUGUAUCUACAGGAAAAAAGAAAGCUAAACAACUGUUUGGAAAAAAUCCUGAUACAUAAAAUAAAUCUGAAAGUGACUCAU